rnacentral:lncRNA from 1 species
UCUCUAAAAUCUAAAUUAAUAGCAAUAAGGCAUAUCUUUUUUUUUUUUUGAAAGAUGAGUUUUUAUUAUAGAUAAACUGUAAUGCCAUGGGGAGUCUCAAACAUGGAGACUCCUGUUAGCAUAAAGCUAUCUUGAGAAGAGCUUGUUCUGUACAAUUACAAAAGUAGCAGCUGCUCAAGGAGCACUUGGCAGCAUCUUAACACGUAUAAUCUCAAAAAACAAGCAGAGUUCUGAAUAAAACCCCUACACAAAAGUCUAAUACUAGUAAAACUCAACCAGAGUGAAAAAAGUGAGUAGCCUAUGUGGCCCAGACCGACAACCUCCCUAAUCGAACAAAUGAAUCAUUCCAGUCAAAACCCCCACGAGUCUUCAAAGGUAGGCAGACAGGGAUAAUGCCAAGAAGCCUCCAAAAGCAAUCAUCCCUCUAUUGUUAUAAGGCAUACCUAUUGUUAUAAGUUGGACAAAACUCAUUCACAAACCAAUCUGGGUUUCAGCAGAAAAAGAAAUAAUCCAUCGUAACUCAUGGACUGAAAACACAUACUUAUUCCUUAAGGUCAGGUUUUACAUGACAAAUUCAUGCCUUUGAAAGACAGUUAUUGUAACACUUGAUUGACACAUGGCUCAGUAAACACGCAAUAUAACAGACAAUACAUGGCACUUAUAUCUACAAUAUAACAUAC